rnacentral:tRNA from 1 species
GAGUCGGUGGCGGCUCUGGCCAGGGCCGCGGCCUGAGGGCGGUCGGUCCGUACGACGAUCAGGGCGCCCUCGUCCGGGUCGAGGGCCGGCUUG